rnacentral:rRNA from 1 species
AUUCCAGCUCCAAUAGCGUAUAUUAAAGUUGUUGCAGUUAAAAAGCUCGUAGUUGGAUUUCUGGCGGGAGUCCGGGUCGGCCUUAACGGGUUGCACUGUUGUGACGUCUCGCCGUUUCGAGGGGAAUGGGCUCGCUAUUAGGUUAGUGUGUUCGGGAACCUCGUCGUUUACUGUGAAAAAAUUAGAGUGUUCAAAGCAGGCCUUUGCUGUGAAUACAUUAGCAUGGAAUAAUAAGAUAGGACUGUAGUGCUAUUUUGUUGGUUUGCGUACUAUGGUAAUGAUUAAUAGGGAUAGUUGGGGGUAUUCAUAUUCAAUUGUCAGAGGUGAAAUUCUUGGAUUUAUGGAAGAUGAACUACUGCGAAAGCAUUUACCAAGGAUGUUUUCAUCA